CCUACGGGGUGCAGUAGUGAGGAAUAUUGGUCAAUGGACGAGAGUCUGAACCAGCCAAGUAGCGUGAAGGAUGACUGCCCUAUGGGUUGUAAACUUCUUUUAUAUGGGAAUAAAACGUUCCACGUGUGGGAUUUUGUAUGUACCAUAUGAAUAAGGAUCGGCUAACUCCGUGCCAGCAGCCGCGGUAAUACGGAGGAUCCGAGCGUUAUCCGGAUUUAUUGGGUUUAAAGGGAGCGUAGGUGGAUUGUUAAGUCAGUUGUGAAAGUUUGCGGCUCAACCGUAAAAUUGCAGUUGAAACUGGCAGUCUUGAGUACAGUAGAGGUGGGCGGAAUUCGUGGUGUAGCGGUGAAAUGCUUAGAUAUCACGAAGAACUCCGAUUGCGAAGGCAGUUCACUGGACUGCAACUGACACUGAGGCUCGAAAGUGUGGGUAUCAAACAGGAUUAGAUACCCCAGUAGUC
rnacentral:rRNA from 1 species